rnacentral:rRNA from 1 species
ACGUAGGGGGCAAGCGUUAUCCGGAUUUACUGGGUGUAAAGGGAGCGUAGACGGCAAGGCAAGUCUGAAGUGAAAGCCCGGUGCUUAACGCCGGGACUGCUUUGGAAACUGUUUAGCUGGAGUGCCGGAGAGGUAAGCGGAAUUCCUAGUGUAGCGGUGAAAUGCGUAGAUAUUAGGAAGAACACCAGUGGCGAAGGCGGCUUACUGGACGGUAACUGACGUUGAGGCUCGAAAGCGUGGGGAGCAAACAG